UACGUAGGGUGCAAGCGUUAAUCGGAAUUACUGGGCGUAAAGCGUGCGCAGGCGGUUAUGUAAGACAGAUGUGAAAUGCCCGGGCUUAACCUGGGAACUGCAUUUGUGACUGCAUGGCUAGAGUUUGGCAGAGGGGGGGUAGAAUUCCACGUGUAGCAGUGAAAUGCGUAGAUAUGUGGAGGAACACCGAUGGCGAAGGCAGCCCCCUGGGUCAAGACUGACG
rnacentral:rRNA from 1 species